AGGGUAGAGAGAAGGAGAACAAACUAGUGUAACGAAAUGUGUCCGCAAGAAACCGUAAAUAGGCCAGGUGGCGCUGUGAAGCAAUAAAGGAGAUAAGGAUAGAAGAUGUAUUGACAGAGAUGCACAGUGUUCGCGCCUUUUUUAAAUAGAAGAAUCAUGACAUUAUUAUACAAAUUUCAUUGAUUCGUUCAUGGUUCAUGAUUCAACUGCAGUUGAAACAACAAAGACAAUGACGAUAUUGGAGAUCAAUGUUAAUUAAUAAGAAACGAAUAAUAUAUAACCCGUUUCCACGAAGCUUGAUCAAUAUUGAUGGCGGAUAUUUUCAAUCCAUAAGAAGUUCAUCAUGAGAAUUCAGAAUAUCAUUCUUGCAGCAAAUAAUACUUUACAUGAAUAAUAUCAAGCUGGGAAAACCUACAUUGUACAUGAAAUAAUAUAAGUAUAAACAACUGUUACUACUACUACUACUAGUAUAAGACAUUAUUCAAUUAAAAAAAAAAACAAUUUAAUGAUUUCAUGUUAUGCUAUGAUGAACAACAAAUUAUGAAUAACACA